GAAGGUAUAGCUCAGUGGUAGAGUGCAUGCUUAGCACGUACGAGGUCCUGCCUGGGUUCAAUCCCCAGUACCUCCA
rnacentral:tRNA from 1 species